rnacentral:rRNA from 1 species
UACGUAGGGGCAAGCGUUGUCCGGAAUCAUUGGGCGUAAAGAGCGUGUAGGCGGCUCGGUAAGUCCGCUGUAAAAGUCCAGGGCUCAACCCUGGAAAGCCGGUGGAAACUGUCGAGCUAGAGUCCGGAAGAGGCGAGUGGAAUUCCUGGUGUAGCGGUGAAAUGCGCAGAUAUCAAGGAGGAACACCAAGUGGCGAAGGCAGCUCGCUGGGACGGUACUGACGCUGAGACGCGAAAGCGUGGGGAGCAAACAGG